UCCGUCAUGGUGUAGUGGCUAGCAUUUCAGACUCUCAUCGAACGUGAACUCUGAGAACCCGGGUUCAAUUCCCGGUGACGGAA